rnacentral:rRNA from 1 species
UAGGGAAUCUUCCGCAAUGGGCGAAAGCCUGACGGAGCAACGCCGCGUGAGUGAUGAAGGUCUUCGGAUCGUAAAACUUUGUUAUUAGGGAAGAACAAAUGCGUAAGUAACUAUGCACGUCUUGACGGUACCUAAUCAGAAAGCCACGGCUAACUACGUGCCAGCAGCCGCGGUAAUACGUAGGUGGCAAGCGUUAUUUGGAAUUAUUGGGCGUAAAGCGCGCGUAGGCUGUUUUUUAAGUCUGAUGUGAAAGCCCUCGGCUCAACCGUGGAGGGUCAUUGGAAACUGGAACACUUGAGUGCAGAAGAGGAAAGAGGAAUUCCAGGUGUAGCGGUGAAAUGCGCAGAGAUAUGGAGGAACACCAGUGGCGAAGGCGACUUAAUAGUAUGUAACUGACGCUGAUGUGCGAAAGCGUGGGGAUCAAACAGG